UGCGGGGCAACCGAGGGCAAUCUCGAGUUUUGGGCUGAUAACCCAAAGGUCGAAGGUCAAAUCCUUCCCCCGCAACCA
rnacentral:tRNA from 1 species